rnacentral:snRNA from 1 species
UGCUCACUUUGGUAGCACAUAUACUAAAAUUG